GACGAACGCUGGCGGCGUGCUUAACACAUGCAAGUCGAACGGAAAGGCCCUGCUUUUGUGGGGUGCUCGAGUGGCGAACGGGUGAGUAACACGUGAGUAACCUGCCCUUGACUUUGGGAUAACUUCAGGAAACUGGGGCUAAUACCGGAUAGGAGCUCCUGCUGCAUGGUGGGGGUUGGAAAGUUUCGGCGGUUGGGGAUGGACUCGCGGCUUAUCAGCUUGUUGGUGGGGUAGUGGCUUACCAAGGCUUUGACGGGUAGCCGGCCUGAGAGGGUGACCGGCCACAAUGGGACUGAGGUACGGCGCAGACUCCUACGGGAGGCAGCAGUCGGGAAUAUGGCACAAUGGGCGGAAGCCUGAUGCAGCAACGCCGCGUGCGGGAUGACGGCCUUCGGGUUGUAAACCGCUUUCGCCUGUGACGAAGCGUGAGUGACGGUAAUGGGUAAAGAAGCACCGGCUAACUACGUG
rnacentral:rRNA from 1 species